UUUCAUUUUUGGAAUUGAUAGCUUCUGAGAGAAAAUAUCAUUCUGGCAUGUUGCUUUACUCAUCAUGAUUAAGCGACAUGCUUCUUGGGCAUGUUUUGUUUCUUGCUCAUUUGGUUUCCAAUUUUUUAGUUUGUAGUUUGUGUUGGUAUUACCAAAUAAUCAAAUAAUGCUGACUAAAAUUGUAUUUUAAUUUAGUACUUAAAAAUUCAUAUACAAGUAUGAAAAGCAGCAAUAAGCUUGAAAAUGGUCUGCCGACCAGAAAUAAAAUGCUUAAGAAUGAUCCUAAAUUGUGGGAUGCUUAAGAAAGCUUACUGUGUAUGAUUAGAUGAUAAACACAAUCUUAGCGUGUAAUAGUGGGAUGCAUCAGCCACUUUCUCAAGGUUCUGUUGGGUUAAUUCCAGCUUUCAAGAAAAGGACCACUUGGUACUUAGGUUUGCUUGAGGAAGGGUAGUAAAGGAGUAAGUGGAUCAAGCUCUAGCUGCAAGGAUAGUGAAAUUGGGAAUGUUGAGAAUAUUCGUGCCGAUGGGCUGCAGCUUAAAGGAAUACUGUGAUGAGAGUGGGAGGGGAAGGUAAGGAGUAUGUAGUGGAAGGUGUGUGAACGUUGGAGGAGGGGGUGAUAGCAUGAACUGAGUGUGGGUUAAUUUGAGCUUAGGGUCCCUCAUCUUCAAUGACGUGUUAACUUUUAUUUUGUUU